GGCCUAAAGCGUCCGUAGCCGGCCCAGUAAGUUCCUCCUUAAAUCCCAUGGCUCAACCAUGGGGCUGGGAGGAAUACUACUGGGCUAGGGGGCGGGAGAGGCCGAGGGUAUUCCCGGGGUAGGGGCGAAAUCCUAUAAUCCCGGGAAGACCACCAAUGGCGGAGGCACUCGGCCAGAACGCGCCCGACGGUGAGGGACGAAAGCCAGGGGAGCAAAAGGGAUUAGAGACCCCUGUAGUCCUGGCUGUAAACGAUGCGGGCUAGGUGUUGGCUGAGCUUCGGGCUCAGCCAGUGCCGCAGGGAAGCCGUUAAGCCCGCCGCCUGGGGAGUACGGCCGCAAGGCUGAAACUUAAAGGAAUUGGCGGGGGAGCACCACAAGGGGUGGAGGCUGCGGUUCAAUUGGAGUCAACCCCGGGAACCUUACCAGGGGCGACAGCAGGAUGAGGGCCAGGCUAACGACCUUGCCCGACGCGCUGAGAGGAGGUGCAUGGCCGUCGCCAGCUCGUGCCGUGAGGCGUCCGGUUAAGUCCGGUAACGAGCGAGACCCUCGUCUCCAGUUGCGACCAGGACCCAUUGGGUCCUGGGCACACUGGAGAGACUGCCAGCGCUAAGCUGGAGGAAGGAGGGGGCUACGGCAGGUCAGUAUGCCCCGAAACCCCUGGGCUACACGCGGCCUGCAAUGGUGGGGACAAUGGGUUCCGAACCCGAAAGGGGGAGGUAAUCCCAUAAAACCCCACCUCAGUUGGGAUCGAGGGCUGCAACUCGCCCUCGUGAACGUGGAAUCCUUAGUAACCGCGUGUCAUCAUCGCGC
rnacentral:rRNA from 1 species